rnacentral:rRNA from 1 species
UGGCGACCGGCGCACGGGUGCGUAACGCGUAUGUAACCUACCUAUAACAGGGGCAUAACACUGAGAAAUUGGUACUAAUUCCCUAUAAUAUUCGGAGAGGCAUCUCUCCGGGUUGAAAACUCCGGUGGUUAUAGAUGGACAUGCGUUGUAUUAGCUAGUUGGUGAGGUAACGGCUCACCAAGGCAACGAUACAUAGGGGGACUGAGAGGUUAACCCCCCACACUGGUACUGAGACACGGACCAGACUCCUACGGGAGGCAGCAUG